UGGAGCCCCCAACCCAGGCAUGUGCCCUUGACUGGAUUGGAAACUGGGACCCUUCCGUCCUCAGGCCAAUGCUCUAUCCACUGAACCAAACCGGCUAGGGCUCACAUGUCUAUUUCUGACACUUGUGCUAGACAGCACCCCAGGGAAACGAAGGUAUGUCCCCUUUAAGAGCUACUAAGCCCCACUGCAUCCUUAAGAGACUGGGAACUCCAAUUCCCAGUGCCUCUCGCGUCAUAGGUGGGCCUCUACCCCCAAACUGUAGGAACCAGCACGUCAGCCAGAGAAAGAACCAGUGGAGGAACUACAUUACCCAGGAGGCCCUGUGGCAACCGAUGGACGGCGAGAAGAGCCAAUGAGAGUUUAGCAUGGAGCCGCUUACGCGCCCACGCGCCUGGAGGCGGGACUUCCGGCGGCGUCCCUCGGGCCGUGAAAGGGAUUUCUUCCGGAUCUCAGGGCGGCCGGGCUGGGGCCGGUGCCCAGGACCAAGCGAGUGGAGGGCGGCGGGCGAUGUCCCCGUUCCCGCCUCGUCAGCCCCGCUCCUCCCUCAGGCCGGAGGGAGGGCUGCGCCGAGGAGCCCGACUGAGGUGAGGUCACACCGAGGAGGAGGCAGUGGAUGGACCUGAAAGAGGGCUCUCGCCAGACACCGAGCCUCAGACACCUUGACCGUGGACGGCCAGCCCCCGGAACUUGGAGGGAGAGAGAGAGACCCUGCACUGGGAACCACGCCCGCAACCCGGGCAUGUG